GAUGAACGCUGGCGGCGUGCUUAACACAUGCAAGUCGAACGGAAAGGCCCUGCUCUUGUUGGUUGCUCGAUUGCCGAACGGGUGAGUAACACGCGAGUAUCCCGUCCUUGUCUUUGGGAUAACUUCAGGAAACUGGGGCGAAUACCCCGUAUGAGCUCCUGCUGCAUGGUGGGGGUUGGUGAGUUUCGGCGGUUGUGGAUGGACUCGCGGCUUACCAGCUUGUUGGUGGGGUAGUGGCUUACCAAGGCUUUGACGGGUAGCCGGCCUGAGAGGGUGACCGGCCACAUUGGGACUGAGAUACGGCCCAGACUCCUACGGGAGGCAGAAGUGGGGAAUAUUGCACAAUGGGCGGAAGCCUGAUGCAGCAACGCCGCGUGCGGGAUGACGGCCUUCGGGUUGUAAACCGCUUUCGCCUGUGACGAAGCGUGAGUGACGGUAAUGGGUAAAGAAGCACCGGCUAACUACGUG
rnacentral:rRNA from 1 species